GACAGAGGCCUCAAGCGUUAGGCGGAAUCACUGGGCUUAAAGCGUGUGUAGGCGGAUCGUUAAGUGUCUUGUGAAAUCCCACGGCUCACCCGUGGAACGGCUGGGCAUACUGGCGAUCUUGGGCCAACUAGGGGCAACUGGAACAAGCGGUGGAGCGGUGAAAUGCGUAGAUAUUAGGAAGAACACCAGUGGCGAAGGCGGCUCACUGGUCCGGUACUGACGCUGAGGUGCGAAAGCGUGGGGAGCAAACAGG
rnacentral:rRNA from 1 species